UGCCAGACAUCCGAUCAUAGACAAAGCUCCAAAGUCCACCCUGCCAUGGCCGGGAAAUGCCAGACAUCCGAUCAUAGACGAAGCUCCAAAGUCCACCCUGCCCUGGCCAGGUAAGCCCCUCAGAAAAAGGACCUCUAAAAUCCAUCCUGCUCUGGCCAGUUAUCCAAGACAUCCCCUCCUCCCAAUGGCCCCAGGGAGAAGAUUUUAGAUCUGAAGAAGCCACAUCAGCCUGUCUGAGAAAAGCACCCCCUGCUCCUUGCAAGAGAACCACUCAGAUCCAUCCCGCCUUGACCCCACAAUCCAAAUCUUCUCCCAAGAUCGUCCCAAAUCUACCACAAGGUCCCAGAAAAAGCAUUCUGGACCCAUAGAAGCCACCCCAUUCAAUCUGUUCUGCCAUGGCCCCCCCCAAUCAAAAACUUCUCCUAAGACUGUCCCCGAACCCUCCACCCCAAGGCCCCAGGAAAAAACAUUCUGGACCCUUAGAAGCCACCUCACUCUUUCUGAAAAAAGUAGCCUGGGCUGCUCUGAAGAGGCCCACCAAAAUCUGUCCUGUUGUGUCUCCUCAAUCGAAAACUUCUCCCAAGAUGGUCCCCAAACACACCACCUGAAGGUUAUCGGGAGAAGGGUCUGGGCAGCAAACCUCCAAAGGAGG